ACAGAGGGUGCGAGCGUUAAUCGGAAUUACUGGGCGUAAAGCGCACGUAGGUGGCGACGUAUGUCGGGUGUGAAAGCCCCGGGCUCAACCUGGGAAUUGCGCUUGAGACUGGGCUGGCUUGAGUGCGGGAGAGGAUGGUGGAAUUCCCAGUGUAGAGGUGAAAUUCGUAGAUAUUGGGAAGAACACCGGUGGCGAAGGCGGCAUCCUGGACCGACAUUGACGCUGAGGCGCGAAAGCCAGGGGAGCAAACGGGA
rnacentral:rRNA from 1 species